UUGUUGUUGUUGUAUGUUGAAUUGCAAUCUUAAGUUAGGUCCAGCCUUUGCUUAACUCACUUAUUGGCCCCCUUGACUGUGUUGAAUUGCAAUCUUAAGUAAAGUUUAGCCUUUGCUAAAUCACUUACUUCCCCCCUUGACUGUGUUUAUUGAAUGAUCUCGCCUAGAUAUGCGUUCUAUGAGCUAAUAUGCUCCUAAAUUUCAUGAGAAAAAGAACUAGCAAGCAAAUUUAUGGACAACAACAAUGUACCCAGUAUAAUCCCACAAGUGGGUCUCGGGAGGAUAGUGUGUUGCUAAUGUAUGGACAUUGAUGAUAAUUGUAGAUGGGAAUUGUAUUUUCCUUCAAUGGCCAGCUAGGACUUAGAAAUUUGUUGCUCAAUUCCUACUCCUAAUUCGUUUUUGCUUCCUCUGAUGUAUUUUUCUAUCAAUUUCUUCUGAUGUAGUGAUAUAAAUGCUGUACAACAACAACAACCUAGUAUAAUCCCACUUAGUGGGGUCUGAGGAGGGUAGUGUGUACGCAGACCUUGCCCCUACCCUGGGGUAGAGAGGCUGUUUCCAAAUAGACCCCCGGCGUCCUUCCCUCCAAAAACUUCCCACCUUACUUUUGGGGNNNNNNNNNNNNNNNGACCUUGCCCCUACCCUGGGGUAGAGAGGCUGUUUCCAAAUAGACCCUCGGCAUCCUUCCCUCCAAGAACUUCCCACCUUACUCUUGGGGAGACUUGAUCUGAAGAGCAACGGCUGGAACACUUUAUUCUUAAAUUGUAUUUGCCCAAUCUUUUGUUGUUGUUCAAGAAUUCCCACUGUAAUGUCCAUUUGCGAAAAUGCAACUGCUGCAUCAUGUUCGAGGUUAUAUUAAUAUUCUAGUCAUAUGCGUCUUGCACACACAUCCAUCUCCACAUUUUGAACGAUGUUUAUAGAUUAUUGAUGUCAAAAGAAAAAAAAACACUUUUUUCGAGGUGUAAUUCAUUCUGAUGUAAUUAGUUUGCAUUCACUUGCAAAUCUGUGA
rnacentral:lncRNA from 1 species